UUUAAUGUGUUGUCUCUAAUAAGGAUCAAACAAUUAGGAAGCCUCCGGAACGUAGGUGGUUGCUAUGGUAACAACAGGCAGACUCUCCGGGCUGCCUUCAGCAGCUAACGUUAGCUAGCUGGCUUUAUAGACAAUGUACAAUGGAUGUGC